rnacentral:ribozyme from 1 species
GCAAACUUAAAUCAACGAGAAACCCAAAAAACAAAUCAAAACAGAAACAGAAAAAAAUCAAAAACAGCCCCAUA